rnacentral:rRNA from 1 species
UGGACAGAAAGACCCUAUGAAGCUUUACUGUAACUUGAAAUUGAAAUUGGACUUUAUUCGCGCAGCAUAGGUGGGAGGCGUUGAUUAUAAUCUUGCGGGAUUAUUGGAGCCAUCAGUGAGAUACCACCCUUGUAAUGUUAGAUUUCUAACUUUGAAUCAUUAUCUGGUCAAAGGACUGUUUCAGGCGGGCAGUUUGACUGGGGCGGUCGCCUCCUAAACGGUAACGGAGGCGUACAAAGGUUUCCUCUGAACGGUUAGAAAUCGUAUCUAGAGUGUAAAGGCAUAAGGAAGCUUGACUGUGAGACCUACAAGUCGAGCAGGGACGAAAGUCGGUCUUAGUGAUCUGACGGUACUGAGUGGAAAGGCCGUCACUCAACGGAUAAAAGUUACUCUAGGGAUAACAGGCU